CAGAAAGAACACUGGAUUUAGAAUAAAAUUUCCUGAUUCUCACAUCUGCUACUUCCAUCCUGGCUCUCCACCUGUGAUCCUGUGUUGUUAUUUUUAGCAAGGCCUUCUUGUAACUUUUACACAUUUGGAAAAAAGGCAAUCCCCAAUUGAUGGGCAUCUUCUAAAUUUCCAAUGUUCUGCCACUACAAAAAUGGCUGCUAUAAAAAUUUUU